GAUGAAGAACGUAGCGAAAUGCGAUAAGUAAUGUGAAUUGCAGAAUUCAGUGAAUCAUCGAAUCUUUGAACGCACAUUGCGCCCCCUGGUAUUCCGGGGGGCAUGCCUGUCCGAGCGUCAUUACAACCCUCAAGCUCAGCUUGGUGUUGGGCCCCGCCGCCCCGGCGGGCCCUAAAGUCAGUGGCGGUGCCGUCCGGCUCCGAGCGUAGUAAUUCUUCUCGCUCUGGAGGUCCGGUCGCGUGCUCGCCAGCAACCCCCAAUUUUUUCAGGUUGACCUCGGAUCAGGUAGGGAUACCCGCUGAACUUAAGCAUAUCAAUAAGCGGAGGA
rnacentral:misc_RNA from 1 species